rnacentral:lncRNA from 1 species
UUUCACUAAUAUAUUUUCCCCCCUAACCUAUCUGGAGCUUUUGCUGGUUACUUUUUCUUUCUUCUUUCGAGCUUGAAUGCCUCUCCUCAUAUGAUGCUGAUAACUACAAGUGCAUAGGGUCCAAUACCCAUGCUGAUGCCAUCAUCGCAGUAUCCCUGAUCACGACUGAAAGUGAAGAAAAGUUGGAUUUCAAAAAAAUGCUUAAGGAAAGGAGACCUCCAGCUCCGAAGAAGAGCAUAAAGAAGGUAGCUGAUGAGCAAGAAAUGUUGGAGAUCCUUUCCAAAGUGCCAAAGAAGGACUAUGAGAAGAUCUGUAUGAAGAAUGGCUUCACUGAUUUCCUUGUGCUUUUCAAAAAGUUGAAAGAGAUGGAGAAGAAGGUGAAGAUUGAGGUUGGUGAGACUGUCCGCUUUCAGGACACUUGGAACAUACGUUUCCAUUUACACUUUUUGCUUUUCUGUCCACACUGAAUAAUUGUCCUCUACCUAAAAGUACACAACAAGUAAUGGCCUACAGUGUCUGUCACAGUACCCAGGGGUUUUGACAGAUGAAAGACCACAUCCACAAGGUAGUUUGUGGGGGAGGCAGUUCAACAUCCCAGAUAGGAUACAAAACAAUGUUUUUGCGGCUGGACUUUCCAAGUGGGAUUUUCAAAGGAGCAUGAAGGAAUUAUGCCAGAUCUCAGUGAGGUAAAAAUGACUUUAGAACCUUUCUGCAAAUAAUACCUGUAGGAAGAAUUCUCACCACAGAUUAAAUCCGUAGAAAGUUAGGUUUGUGCUGCCUGACUGCACUGUUACUGUUUGCUGUGUUAGAGCAGAAUCCUGAUACUUUAGCCAAAGUAUUCAGUCCAGUUGGCGUUGCUUUGGACAAGCG